AUCCUUUUGUAGUUCAUAAGCUUGAUGAUUGGGUGUUUACACCGUUGUGUGACAUGUGGUUCCCUCAAACCUUGUUAUGACCUCCAUGCAUGACCCAUCUGACA